GUCCUAGCCGUAAACGAUGAACACUAGGCGUAGUCGGUAUCGACCCCGGCUGUGCCGUAGCUAACGCAUUAAGUGUUCCGCCUGGGGAGUACGGCCGCAAGGCUAAAACUCAAAGGAAUUGACGGGGGCCCGCACAAGCAGCGGAGCGUGUGGUUUAAUUCGUCGCAACGCGAAGAACCUUACCAGGGCUUGACAUGUGGCGGAAAACGGCGGAAACGUCGUCCUCCCGCAAGGGACCGUCAUGCAGGUGUUGCAUGGCUGUCGU
rnacentral:rRNA from 1 species